rnacentral:rRNA from 1 species
GAUGAACGCUGGCGGCGUGCCUAAUACAUGCAAGUCGAGCGAACAGACGAGGAGCUUGCUCCUCUGACGUUAGCGGCGGACGGGUGAGUAACACGUGGAUAACCUACCUAUAAGACUGGGAUAACUUCGGGAAACCGGAGCUAAUACCGGAUAAUAUAUUGAACCGCAUGGUUCAAUAGUGAAAGACGGUUUUGCUGUCACUUAUAGAUGGAUCCGCGCCGCAUUAGCUAGUUGGUAAGGUAACGGCUUACCAAGGCAACGAUGCGUAGCCGACCUGAGAGGGUGAUCGGCCACACUGAAACUGAGACACGGUCCAGACACCUACGGGAGGCAGCAGUAGGGAAUCUUCCGCAAUGGGCGAAAGCCUGACGGAGCAACGCCGCGUGAGUGAUGAAGGUCUUCGGAUCGUAAAACUCUGUUAUUAGGGAAGAACAAAUGUGUAAGUAACUAUGCACGUCUUGACGGUACCUAAUCAGAAAGCCACGGCUAACUACGU